rnacentral:rRNA from 1 species
CCUACGUGAGGCAGCAGUGAGGAAUAUUGCUCAAUGGCCGAAACCCUGAUCCAGCGACGCCGCGUGAGGGAAUAAGUAUCUCCGUACUUAAAGCUCUAUUAGCAGGGGAGAAAAUAGCGGUACGUGACUAACAACCCCCGUAUAACUACGUGCCGGCACCGGCCGUAAUACGUACGGAGCAGCGGUUAUCCGGAUUUACUGGGUGUAAAGGGAGCGUAGGCGGCAGUACAGGUCUGGAGUGAAAUCCCGGGGCUUAACCCCGGAACUGCUUUUGAAACUGUGCGGCUGGAGUGCAGGAGGGGUAAGCGGAAUUCCUAGUGUAGCGGUGAAAUGCUUAGAUAUCACGAAGAACCCCGAUUGCGAAGGCAGCUUACUAAACUGUGACUGACAUUGAUGCUCGAAAGUGUGGGUAUCAAACAGGAUUAGAUACCCUUGUAGUC